rnacentral:rRNA from 1 species
AACACGUGGGGAACCUGCCCCAUAGUCUGGGAUACCACUUGGAAACAGGUGCUAAUACCGGAUAAGAAAGCGGAUCGCAUGAUCAGCUUUUAAAAGGCGGCGUAAGCUGUCGCUAUUGGAUGGCCCCGCGGUGCAUUAGCUAGUUGGUAAGGUAAAGGCUUACCAAGGCGAUGAUGCAUAGCCGAGUUGAGAGACUGAUCGGCCACAUUGGGACUGAGACACGGCCCAAACUCCUACGGGAGGCAGCAGUA